rnacentral:rRNA from 1 species
CGAACGCUGGCGGCGUGCUUAACACAUGCAAGUCGAACGGAAAGGCCCUGCUUUUGUGGGGUGCUCGAGUGGCGAACGGGUGAGUAACACGUGAGUAACCUGCCCUUGACUUUGGGAUAACUUCAGGAAACUGGGGCUAAUACCGGAUAGGAGCUCCUGCUGCAUGGUGGGGGUUGGAAAGUUUCGGCGGUUGGGGAUGGACUCGCGGCUUAUCAGCUUGUUGGUGGGGUAGUGGCUUACCAAGGCUUUGACGGGUAGCCGGCCUGAGGGGGUGACCGGCCACAUUGGGACUGAGAUACGGCCCAGACUCCUACGGGAGGCAGCAGUGGGGAAUAUUGCACAAUGGGCGGAAGCCUGAUGCAGCAACGCCGCGUGCGGGAUGACGGCCUUCGGGUUGUAAACCGCUUUCGCCUGUGACGAAGCGUGAGUGACGGUAAUGGGUAAAGAAGCACCGGCUAACUACGUG